rnacentral:lncRNA from 1 species
AAGAAAGUGGCAGCGAUUGUUCGAUAACUCGCUGCUGGAGGCCGCUGCUGACUCCCCAAGGCGACCCAGGGAAAAGAAACCAGCCUGGUUUCUUCGCUCAGACUCCUUUGGCAACCCUACCCCACCGAGAGGUUUUUGUGGAUCACCACAGCAGCAUCCCCCAGCACAGUGCCCAUUCCUUUUCCCCGUGGAGGGAAACGUCGGUUCCUAAAGGUGAAGCCAGCUCCUGUGCCCCCUCAGUGUCCCUGCAGAGCAGAUCCAUGCUCUUUUAGUUCACUGGCAAGGAGCUACCUGCCUCACACCCAGCCUAGAGAAGGGGAAGGUGUUUCCUGCUUGCCUGUAACAUGAGGAUCAUGGCAGGAACAGAGGUGAUGGAAGUCAAGGCCUUCAAAGCCAGGCUGAGCUCCUCGCUCUGGUGGGAGGGCAAGCUGGUGGAGGGGAGCAGAGCAGUUUGCAAAUCUGCAGGGAGGGCUGCUCCACAGGGCUGGGGGCAAGCAUGCUGCCCCCCCUGCUGCACACAGCCAGAGUGUUCCCUUCAUCUCCGUGUGCAGCUUAUAAAUGCCUUAGCAGAUUAUUUCCCUUUAUCUGAGAAGAGGGAAGGAGUUUUAUUCACCUGCUCCUUUCUGUUCAGUCCUUUGAAGGUCACACCUGUCACAUCUAUGGCUUUUUUCUUCCCUUAUUUUUGCAGCAUGAGGCUCUGUGGUACAGUGAUAUCACAGAAGAAAUCUUCUCAAGAUGUGAGACAGAGACACACAAAAUUCCUGUGCUCCUGCCUGAAGACAGAGCAGCUGGGGAAGGGAGCAUGCUCCAGGCUGCCCUGCACCCCUGGGCUUCUCAGAUGGGGCUGCUGCUGGCAACACCAAGGCAUUGGGUGUGGAUGGCCCCGAUCCUUAAAGGUUUGGUGA